rnacentral:sRNA from 1 species
AUGAAGAAGAAGUUAGACCAA